rnacentral:rRNA from 1 species
GACGAACGCUGGCGGCGUGCUUAACACAUGCAAGUCGAACGGAAAGGCCCUGCUUUUGUGGGGUGCUCGAGUGGCGAACGGGUGAGUAACACGUGAGUAACCUGCCCUUGACUUUGGGAUAACUUCAGGAAACUGGGGCUAAUACCGGAUAGGAGCUCCUGCUGCAUGGUGGGGGUUGGAAAGUUUCGGCGGUUGGGGAUGGACUCGCGGCUUAUCAGCUUGUUGGUGGGGGAGUGGCUUACCAAGGCUUUGACGGGUAGCCGGCCUGGGAGGGUGACCGGCCACAUUGGGACUGCGAUACGGCCCAGACUCCUACGGGAGGCAGCAGUGGGGAAUAUUGCACAAUGGGCGGAAGCCUGAUGCAGCAACGCCGCGGGCGGGAUGACGGCCUUCGGGUUGUAAACCGCUUUCGCCUGUGACGAAGCGUGAGUGACGGUAAUGGGUAAAGAAGCACCGGCUAACUACGUG